AAAGGAAAAGCCUGAAGCAUGGAAAAAAGUAAGAAAUACCUGAGUCUUCUGGAAACCCUGGAGCAGCAAAUAUCCAGAAUUGGAGGGGACCCACUAGGAUCAGAGUCCCACCUGAAAAUCAGACCAAAUGUCAGCAAGCACUUCCAGAUACUUCUUGAAUUCCUGAAGCUUGAUGCUGUGACCACUGUCCUGCGGAGCCUGUUCCAGUUCCUGACCAACUUCUGGUGAAGAGCCUUAGAAUCUUUUCCUGAUGUGCUAUCUGAC
rnacentral:lncRNA from 1 species